AAGUCGUAACAAGGUUUCCGUAGGUGAACCUGCGGAAGGAUCAUUAACGAAUAUCUAUGGCGUUGGUUGUAGCUGGCUCCUAGGAGCAUUGUGCACGCCCGUCAUUCAUAUCAUUUUUCCACCUGUGAACCAUGUGUAGGCCUGGAUACCCCUCGCUUUGGCAACAAAGCGGAUGCAAGGAUUGCUGCGUCGACAAGGCCGGCUCUCUUUGAAUUUCCAGGUUCUAUGUCUUUUACACACCCCAUUCGAAUGAUUUAGAAUGUAGUCAAUGGGCUUUCAUGCCUAUAAAAAACUAUACAACUUUCAGCAACGGAUCUCUUGGCUCUC
rnacentral:misc_RNA from 1 species